GAUGAACGCUAGCGGCAGGCCUAACACAUGCAAGUCGAGGGAGGAGCUUUCGGGCUUCGGCCGGCGUACGGGUGCGUAACGCGUAUACAAUCUGCCUUUCACAUAGGGAUAGCCCGAAGAAAUUUGGAUUAAUACCUAAUGGUAUAUAGGAGUGGCAUCACAUUUAUAUUAAAGCUGAGGCGGUGAAAGAUGAGUAUGCGUUCUAUUAGCUAGUUGGAGAGGUAACGGCUCCCCAAGGCGACGAUAGAUAGGGGUUCUGAGAGGGAUAUCCCCCACACUGGUACUGGGAUACGGACCAGACUCCUACGGGAGGCAGCAGUGAGGAAUAUUGGACAAUGGUCGGAAGACUGAUCCAGCCAUGCCGCGUGCAGGAAGACGGCCUUAUGGGUUGUAAACUGCUUUUGCAGGGGAAGAAUAAGGACUACGAGUAGUUUGAUGACGGUACUCUGCGAAUAAGCAUCGGCUAACUCCGUG
rnacentral:rRNA from 1 species